rnacentral:tRNA from 1 species
GUUAUAGUAGCAGAGCACGGUCACUGCCGAAGGCCUAAACCCUUCUUACAGAGGUUCAAAUCCUCUCUCUAACU